CUUCAAUAGCUCAGUUGGUAGAGUGGAAGACUGUAGUACUUCCCAGCGUAGUCAUCCUUAGAUCACUGGUUCAAUUAUUAUUUGAAGGA
rnacentral:tRNA from 1 species